rnacentral:rRNA from 1 species
GGAUGAACGCUGACAGAAUGCUUAACACAUGCAAGUCGGCUCGAGUCUUCGGACUUGGGUGGCGCACGGGUGAGUAACGCGUAAAGAACUUGCCUCUUAGACUGGGACAACAUCUGGAAACGGAUGCUAAUACCGGAUAUUAUGGUUUCUUCGCAUGGAGGAAUCAUGAAAGCUAGAUGCGCUAAGAGAGACGCUUUGCGUCCCAUUAGCUCGUUGGUGAGGUAACGGCCCACCAAGGCAAUGAUGGGUAGCCGGCCUGAGAGGGUGAACGGCCACAAGGGGACUGAGACACGGCCCUU